AAUUGCUUUUUGACAUUGUUCUGUUCUAAAAUUAACAAUUCCUUUAUGCAUCUCUUUUUCUACGCUCUUAAGUUCAUCCUGUUUUCUCUCAACUACCCAUGCUGGACUCCACUUAUCUUACGUCGCACGCGGCUACAUCAUGACUGGAAAUCAUGAAGCCAUUCUCUACAUGGCAAUAAAGGCCAUGAUCCAACGCCCAUCUUUUGAUUGAGAGCCAAUUGUUUACUCCUGAUACCUCUGAUAUACACAUAUCAUAUUCUAUUUUUAUUCAUGGCUUGAGCUAACAUCGUAUCUUAGGAUCUCCACUUUGGUACCUGCAUGGAUAGAUUCAGACCUACAAGCUUGAUUCUCGUUCAACAUUGGUUCAAUCCUCCACCCAACCUUCCUACUUUCCCUCGGAUUGUCCUUCUACUCACGAACAUAUCACUUCUUUCGCUUCUUCUAUGCUCUAAUCCUGUUUUACUCCUUCCUAUUCGUCAAUGGAGUUCAUUCUGAGAUAUUUAUAGAAGAUCUCCAAGCUCACUCGCCAUGCAUGAGGUCCAUAACAGCACGAGGUAAUCGAACAAUAUCCCGUUAAAAACGAAACAUUCCAGCCGUUUCUUCUGCGUCCUGACCUUGUCUAUACCA
rnacentral:lncRNA from 1 species